GCCGCGUGAACGAUGAAGGCCUUCGGGUCGUAAAGUUCUGUUGUCAGGGAAGAACAAGUACCGGAGUAACUGCCGGUACCUUGACGGUACCUGACCAGAAAGCCACGGCUAACUACGUGCCAGCAGCCGCGGUAAUACGUAGGUGGCAAGCGUUGUCCGGAAUUAUUGGGCGUAAAGCGCGCGCAGGCGGUUCCUUAAGUCUGAUGUGAAAGCCCCCGGCUCAACCGGGGAGGGUCAUUGGAAACUGGGGAACUUGAGUGCAGAAGAGGAGAGCGGAAUUCCACGUGUAGCGGUGAAAUGCGUAGAGAUGUGGAGGAACACCAGUGGCGAAGGCGGCUCUCUGGUCUGUAACUGACGCUGAGGCGCGAAAGCGUGGGGAGCGAACAGGAUUAGAUACCCUGGUAGUCCACGCCGUAAACGAUGAGUGCUAAGUGUUAGAGGGUUUCCGCCCUUUAGUGCUGCAGCAAACGCAUUAAGCACUCCGCCUGGGGAGUACGGCCGCAAGGCUGAAACUCAAAGGAAUUGACGGGGGCCCGCACAAGCGGUGGAGCAUGUGGUUUAAUUCGAAGCAACGCGAAGAACCUUACCAGGUCUUGACAUCCUCUGACAACCCUAGAGAUAGGGCGUUCCCCUUCGGGGGACAGAGUGACAGGUGGUGCAUGGUUGUCGUCAGCUCGUGUCGUGAGAUGUUGGGUUAAGUCCCGCAACGAGCGCAACCCUUGAUCUUAGUU
rnacentral:rRNA from 1 species